GACGAACGCUGGCGGCGUGCUUAACACAUGCAAGUCGAACGGAAAGGCCCUGCUUUUGUGGGGUGCUCGAGUGGCGAACGGGUGAGUAACACGUGAGUAACCUGCCCUUGACUUUGGGAUAACUUCAGGAAACUGGGGCUAAUACCGGAUAGGAGCUCCUGCUGCAUGGUGGGGGUUGGAAAGUUUCGGCGGUUGGGGAUGGACUCGCGGCUUAUCAGCUUGUUGGUGGGGUAGUGGCUUACCAAGGCUUUGACGGGUAGCCGGCCUGGGAGGGUGACCGGCCACAUUGGGACUGAGAUACGGCCCAGACUCCUACGGGAGGCAGCAGUGGGGAAUAUUGCACAAUGGGCGGAAGCCUGAUGCAGCAACGCCGCGUGCGGGAUGACGGCCUUCGGGUUGUAAACCGCUUUCGCCUGUGACGAAGCGUGAGUGACGGCAAUGGGUAAAGAAGCACCGGCUAACUACGUG
rnacentral:rRNA from 1 species